rnacentral:lncRNA from 1 species
GCACAUGCCACGUCUGAUGCAUGCAAGCCUUGGUUGAUGCCGCCUGCCGUUGGGCGACGUCGCCUGGCCGACCCCCACAUGCCACGUCCGAUGGGUGGCCCACUUGGUGCUCUUGAUUCCAUCGCACGAAUUCUGACUUAGAGGAGUAGGCAUCAUUUUUCCACAGAAUCAUAAUGAACAUGUAUGACCCAAAUAUGCACGUUAUAAGGUACAAUUACACAUUAACUUC